AGACAGCAUUAACCCCUUCCACCCCAGGAAACCAGUCAGGCAGCAUUAACCCCUUCCACCCCAGGAAACCAGUCAGGCAGCAUUAACCCCUUCCACCCCAGGAAACCAGUCAGACAGCAUUAACCCCUUCCACCCCAGGAAACCAGUCAGACAAGUAAGGUCGAUAUGUUUUUCCAAGAAAGGUGGCUGUUGCUUAAGAAUGGAAACUUAAGAGUGAUGGGAACAAAACUUCUGUGGAGUGGCUGACAAUGAAAUUAGUUAAGGUAAUGAUUACUUUCUUCUACACUCAGUAUCUUUUGUCUGUCUCAGACUGUAUACCAGGAGCUUCUGCCUGCUAGUAAGACGGUAAGGAGACAAGUGGACAUGUGAGUGCUAGGGGACAGUCCUUAGAAAGCGUGGAGCGAACUCAUUAUACCAAGCUCAGGGUGUUGUCUGCAUAGUAUGCCCUUAGUUGUAAAACCUUUAAAUUCUUUGGACAGACAUGCCCCCUUUUUUGUAUGUUAACCCCUUUCGGGAGUUCUGGUUACGUAAUUUGCGUCAUUGGCCCACCCUUUUACCCUGUCCAUUGACUUCCUGCUUCACUGGACACUGCUGUUAGGGGGUAUGGAUGGAGUGAGAUUAGCAUAGGGUAUGUGUUUUCUCAUAUAUGCAUCCUAUGAGUUUCCCUCCAUCACCACGUCCAUCAGAUACAUGAUGCUUGGGAGGUAGGACUGUUUUAGUGUUUUUGGUCGAUAAGAUUCUGUAAUUAGGCCCAUCAUAAUUGUCCUCACCGGGCUCUUAAUCUGGCCUUGCUAUUAUUGAUAGAGUUAUUUCGUUCAUAAUCUGUGCACUGUCUGUAAUAUUUACCUGUGCUACAUGGGCCAGGCACGGUUGGCUGAAUGGUUGCCAGUCCUGGUGGCCAUGAAGUCACUGUAGCGGAACGCCAAUUAUAAAUCCACGAAUUCCGCUGGUUCAGAAACGAAUCCACAGUCAAGCGCUGAAAACCAUAAGGCAAUAUCCCCAACCUCCCAGUAACCGGACGAGACACAGUUCUGAGAGUCAACUGACAUCCUUUUAAUCGGCUGGACAAUUUAUACAAGUCCCCAUGCAAGGGGUUUCCUGAGUCCCUUCCCAGGGGCACUCCCAGAGGGGACUACAUGGGGGACUUACAUGACAACAUAUUUCUCCCAUCAGGCACCGCUGCACGAGAGGGAUCAUCCUCCCAGAAUGCACCGUUAAGGGGAUUAUCCCCUCGUGCAGCAGAACCGACAAUUUAAACAAAAAUAACUUGUUAAAUACACGGUGGAUUUACACGAAUGGACGUUCGGUAGAUAGCUGGGGUCUGAGCGCAUCAUUCGUGAGAUUACCGCUCAGAUCCCAGCUAAAAUAACCGAACGCCGCACGAAAAACCCAUUUCUUUUAAAACAUACGAAAAGGACCGAUUGCUUUUAGUGAACACGAUCCUGAAACUCCCGAACGUCCUGGAGGCUCAGCGGUGUUCGUGCCGUCGAAUAGCUAUUGGUAGUACUAUGCGUUCGACGACCCGGCACCGCUGAGGAACAAAGGAUCCAAUAUGGCCGACCGCCGCAUGGUCGGUAGUCGAACGACGGCCACCCUGGAGAGCCUCUAAUAACCGAUUGCAACAAUGUUGCAAUCGGUUAACUAGCGCCACACGCCUCUAAGUGUGUGGGCUAUUAGGGGGUAUCGCGUUCGGUUCACGAACGGCUAUCUAAAGUGCCGUUCGUGAAACGAAAGAAAAUCCCCAUACAAAACCGCCAUUUUCAUUCGGCGGAAACAGCAAUUACAGGCAAUGCAGAGAAUACAUUAAGUAUACAUAGAAGAGUAAAGCGCAUAUCUCCCCAGACCUAUAGGCAACCCUUAAAGGCAUAGUCUCUAGUUAUAGUCCAAGUGGCUAGGUUUGCCACAGUCACGGUUGUCAGUCCUGCAGAGGAUUCAGAGAUUGUCUUUGGUGAUUUACAGGUGUUAUUGCAUGACAUAUAUUCAUAAAUAAUAAGAGAUUUCAAAUGGAUUCAGAGACGGAGACAUAUAUGGCUGUUUUUUUUUGAAGUCCUGAGCAAUAGUGUACAGAGAUCGUAAUUAAUUAUAAAUUAAUAUUUAUAAAGCGCCAACAUAUUCCGUAGCACUGUACAAUAGCUGGACUAACAGACAAGUAUCUGUAACAAGACAAACAAGAGGGAGUGGGGUAAAGUGACACGAGGAAAGGGAAGGAUUGGGCAAUAUUUUUUACUGAAAGCCAGUGCAAGGACUCAUAGAGGGGGUUGGUGUGGGAGUGCAGGCGAACAGGAAUAUGAGCCUCACUGCCGCAUAACGGGGCAAGCUGGGAAGGACCAGCACCUUAGCCAUCACAAAUAUUGUUUGUGGCAAACGUGCCUAUGCCAUGAGCUUCUGGAGGAGCCUGCUAGCUAGCCUUCUGCCCAAGGACAAUGGGCCAUAUCCAAAGAUGCUGUUCGAGCGUUAACCUGCCCGGGCUCCUCAAGCAGCUUUCCAUGGGUACCCCUGUGUGGCAAAGAUGCCUCUGUCAUGUGUUCCUGCUGGGAUUUGAACCUGCAAUGUCCAAGAGUUGAACAGAUUCUAUUGAUGAAUUAGCCCACUUCGCUAUCACACCAACCUCUACCAAUGUUCCCUGCCCAAAGACAGUCUCUGAGCGGCGAAUCCUGAAGGAAAUACGAUCCGUAGCUUAAGCAUUACCACUAAAAGCACCCCCCACCUGCAGACGACCGUAACUUGAACAGGAAGCUGAGCCCUGCAAAGCAAAGAAAUCAUUGAGGACUACCCCACUGCCUCCAACAUCCCUAAGAGAUUUAACCAAACCUUUAGACAAGCGGUCGAACCCUGGAAACCCCAGAGGGAACGCUCCCACCCAUCCCGUUCUCUCCAUGCUUUACUGCGGCCGCAGAGAUCGACCCACGGACCAGCUCCAUCAGUCCGCUAGACCAAGCGACCACAUCUCCAACUUCCUCCAAUUGGGCCUGCGGAGCCACUGCCCGAAGUACAUCCCACAGCGAAUGAGAGAGAGCAUCGGCCAUUACAUUGUGGACCCCCUGGGAAAUGCUCCGCCCGACAAUACACAUUAAGACUCAAACAGAACAAGGCGCCGCAGCAAGAACACCACCUGUGGAGAGGAUUUGGUCAAACGACAGUCUUGCACAACCCCGAUGGAAAAAACUACACACCUGUCCGUAAGUUGGGGACCCCACACCUACAAUGCCACCAGAAUGGGGAAGAGCUCCAGGACAGCCAGAUUCCGCAAGAGCCCCGCUGCUUGCCAGCCUACAGGCCAAGAGUCAGUACACCAUCGAGAGCCCAAAAUGGACCCAAAACCUCCCGAGCCUGCUGCAGCGGUGUAAUGGAUCGCCUGGCACCCCGACUGGGUACCUCCGUUGCUGGAUGCUCCUAGCGCUUCCUGAGGGUUCCAAGCACUCCAGCCGACACCAUAACUACCAUAGACUCCUCCAGAGAGCAAGGCAGGUACAAGCUCUUACAAGCGCUUUGUAGUGAUUUAGCAAGGGAGUAUGACAAGCAUAGCAAACCCUUGUAGCAGAUUCCUCCAAUAAGAGACGUCACUCCAAAUUGAGGGUGAAGUAGAACUGAAGCUUUUAAUCAAACACUCUGUUUAUAUGCCCAUUUUACAAACAUAGUACCGCCCAGAGGGUUUUGAAGAACAAACCAAUCAAUACAUUACAACAUAGCUAAACACUCCCAUUCAUACCAGCAGAAAUCCUCCCCUUUGCCUGUGAUACAAUUACUGAACACAAUGGGCUAACGUAAUUAUCAAGUAAUUAUCACAGACAGGAAAAUACAGUUUUACACAAUAUUCAUAACUUUAAAAGUAUACAUCAGAUUCACAUAAAAAAACUUAUGUAAAGGGUUUACCUGUACCCAUUCGGUUAUUUCCUAUCCCUGCUAGUUAAGUGACUGUAAAGUAUUCGUUGUUAUUUCUGUGUUCGGGACAUUUAUUCGUUCUACCGAAUGGAGACCACCCUGGGUAGCAAUCAGAACUUAGAACACCAAGUAACCACGAAAACCGCAAGGUAAUUGAGUGCUUCUAGGUGGCCUCCAUUCUGCAUACGAACGCGUGGUGAGAACAAAGGAUGGCGGCCAUCUUAGAUCUCCCGAACGAGGCCAUCUGGACUUACUCAUGGAUUGCCUGGAACCAUUUUCGUUAUGGCAAUCACACGAACAUCCAGUCUCCAUGGAAGUCCCGUCUGACCGAUUUCCACUUACAGUAUCAAACUGGCGUUCGGGAGUUUCAAUCAGCCGAAUGAGGGGAGAAUUCAAAUGUAACCAGAUGCCGUAUAACUGUGAUGGUUUUCGUGUAAUUCCGCACGAACGGAGACUGGCUCUUGCUACCAAUUUCAUGGAACUCAAACUCUGAUACAACCACAUGGCGAGCCGGUCAAACUUCCACACGAUGCGAAACGAAGACUACUGAACGGAUUUUUGUGCAGUUUGGAUAUGUUACUCCUAGUAUCCUCAGCUACCCAUUUCUAUGACAUGUAUUUUUAGUAUUUUUAAAAAUGUGGAAAAUUGUUAAUGUUUCUGGCCAGCAGAUAAUUGAGUUUAGUAUAUUGCUGAAACUCAAUUAUCUAGCCUGGCCCAGAGGAGGAGUCUGUUACUGUAUAAAUUGAAUGCCUGUUGCUUCCAGUAAAUCAGUCUUGUUCCAGCAUUAAGCUUUGGCUCAUGUGUGGAUUAUGGUUGUUAUUCUGCUAUUGGGAAAAAGGGAAUACUGGACGGUGAUACAACUUACUACAGUCACAACUUACAUUUUCAGAAUCAGCAUACUCCAAAUACAAACAUGGGUCAAAAUCAUACAAAUUGGUCCAGUGGUUCAAAAGAUAUAUGGAAGACCUAUUUGACUGACUGCAAGCAUGGCUUGGGUGUAGUAAGCCAAUUAUCUCCAGCAUACAUAAAAUAUCUCCAUUUACAACAACAGCAAAAAAAAAACACAAAAAUACAUAAUUCCUAUCAUACUGAACAGAACCCCCACAUUCAACCUAUCCCCAGAUAGCUUGGAUCUGAGCGCUCACUAUAUCCGAACAGCGCUCAGAUCCCCCGAACACAGUCAAAUCGCCAUGGGGUUAAAGUUUAGCAACAAGUUCCAACUGGUCUGGCAGUGUCCCUGGGACAACGCCCUGCUGGAGAACAAUAGACAGGAAACGGGGAGGGGCACACAUUCUCAUGUAUUCAAAGGGGCAGAAAAAGUGUUUCAAAAUCCAAUAAGCCCAAAUAAUGCUUACACAGGGCAAAGUCUCCCAGGGGCCAUAGGCAGGAGGCGGGCAAACAGGCUUCUCCAAUGCCCAGUGGCGAGGUUGGUUCCGCCACAAGCGGUAAAGAGGCGGAAGUAGAGACCUCCGGGGCCUGCCAGUACAUGCUACCGUUAUAGGAGGCCAAGAAGGAAUCCCAGACAGCCCCAAGGGCAAAAUCCGUCAGGCGAAGUCCAGCUUACCCAGGAGAGACCGCAGGCAGCGCAGCUGAAUUUUACAUCGCUCCAAAGCCAGCGACACCUCCUGCCGGAUGUCUUGAACUGUAAUCAGGGGCAAACGACAUUCCCCAGCCCCGGAAUAGAUAUCCAGGAAACUACGGCACGUAACCGGACCCACGGUGUUGUCCUGGGGCACAGAACACCAAAACACUGAAACACUUUGUAGCGGUUACACCGGGUAGCAGAGAGGUUUCCACCACUGAAGGGUGUCCUUUUCCCGAUCAGGUGGGAGGAUUCUCAGCAUCCAGUAAUGAUACAAGUGAAGAAGCUCUUACAAGAGCUAGUGUGAUAGCUGUAUAGCUGUUACCCCCAAUAAGAGACAAGACUAGACUGAGGGUGUAGAAGAACUGAUGGUUUAAUGGCAGAUACUCUCCUUUUAUGCAGUCUUCCCAUGCAACGGAGACACCCACAUACAAUUAUACAUUAGCCAAUAAAACAAUGGUUACAACCCACCCCUCUGCUUGGGAGAUAAUGGAGUUACUUACUGCAUCUACUCAAUUAUCUCCAAGCUGAAAAUCAUGCUUUUUAUGCAUUUUUAUAACUUCCUGAUUUUUACAUUGUAUAUGAAUAAAACGUACUCAGCAUAACUUGGGGAGCAACAUUUGUAAAAAUCACAUGAAUCCGUCCAGGGUUUCGGGAGAUAGGGGAAAGUGUCUUUGGACCGACCGCAUGCCUGUUUGUAUGCCCAAAACAGUUCCACAGAUUCAGGCUGUGCGGUUGGUCUAUCUUUCCAUUCGCAUGAAGUUCAAAUUGCACAAACGGAUCGGUUCGUGCUUACUCUCUUUAGAUGCGGCUUGUUCGUGAGUUUAUUCCAUAAAAAUAGCGCUCUGUUCGCAUGGGUUUAGCCGAACGCACGGAAAGUAGAAGUUUCAGCGGUGUUCGUGGAAAAGGUAGCUGAAAAUAGUUUCACGCAUUCGACGACCAAACACCGCUGAGUGCGUUCGACUAAACAAAAUGGUCGCCACCACGUGUUCGUGGAAACGAAUGCCGACCACCCUAUAGCGUUUAAAAUGAUGAAGUGUUCGUGGUUUUCGAGGUGUUCCUUGAGUCAGGGAGGUAAAUGAGUGCCACACUUCAUUACUGGGUGGCCGGGCGUUCCGUAGAAAAUUUGUGAUUCGAACGGCCUUUACUAUAGCAUCCAUUACAGUCAAUUUAGACAAAAGUGUGGCGGAACCAACCUCGCCACUAUGCACUGGAGAAGCCUGGAUGCUCGCCUGCUCCCUUUAGACUAUGGCCCUGCAGUUCAGACCUGUUGUUUUCCCUGCUGAAAGGUUUAUUCAUGCCUUUCUGCCAGGGUGUUCGGUAGAUUCCAUCUACCGAACAAUGGAACACCUGGGAACUUUAGUGUGCCGUCUAUUGACCGCCCAGAAGCUGCGGUUAACCGCAGCUUAAUUGAUGAACGCUGGGUGGCCUUUGUUCGGAUGCCGAACAUGUGGCAGCGGCCAUUUUACCUCCCUAACGGCCUGCGGUGUUCAGUGCCCAAACUAUGGAACAGAAAACGGACACUUAUUGGCGCGAACACCGCUGAGCGGCCAGCCUCCUUACCUUCUCAUUUGGUAGCGGAACUGAAUGACUGUUCAUUAGGUAAUUUAACCGGGUGAACAGCAUCACCCCAGAUAGCUAUGCCAUGGAGCCUGUUCAUGUAACGAAAGACUUUGGCUCCAUGGCGAUUGAAAUGUAUGUAUGUGAUCUGAGCGCCAUUCGCUUAAUAAUGUGCGCUCAGAUCUCAGCUAUCUGGGGAUAGGUAGAAUGUCUAUGUUUUAUGUAAUGCAUGUAAUUUUAUGUCUUUUUACUACCAUGUGUCUAUUUACUACCAUGUCUAUUUACGUCUUUUAUGUCUAUUUACUACCAUGUGAUUAAUGGAGUUUUGCCUCUGUCCUUGGAGAUAAUUGGAUUACUUCUCAAUUAUCUCCAGGACAGAGAGGAGGGAUUGUGAUGCAUUGUGGGAUUGUUGAAAUGUGUAAGUCUGUGAUUGGUUCUUGUACCCUUUGUGUCCCAGUCUCCCAUCUGGUCCCAUAGGGGAGUGUCCACCAGGUGGGAGACCUGCAUAAAAGCCGGGCAGUUAGCCCCAGUACACCAGAUUCUGCUUAACCCCCAAGUCGUCUCGUCUUUGGGGGGAUUUACUGUAUGCUGUUAGAGACUGAUUGCCAGGAGUGUAAGCCGCUUGGGGGCUUUUACUGUUCGUCUGCUAACAGCUAUUCGUGUGUCUCCAGUUUGGGAGAUUGGUGAUUGCAGUAGCUGCCUGUACAUCUGAAAAGGGGAAUAUCGCCUAAACGAUUUUUAACCUCUUGUGGGCAAAACGGUCCGUUACAAAAAGUUUUAAACGAAUGGCUUGUUCACAAAAUUACAGAUCCAACGAAAAACAGGGGGAUCUGUUACAUGGCUCCCUCUUUGUAGAACACUCCAGCAGACUUGGUUUGAUCCUUUUUGGGUCAACUGGAGGCUGCCUGGACGACCGAUCAGGGGCUGAGUUCAGUCUGGUGGGACAGCCCAUCUGCGUUACCGUUUUGUUUCCCGGGGCGGUACUGGAUGAUAAAAUUAUAGGGCUAGGCUCCAUCUUAAUAAUCGUUCGUUGUCUCUGGCCACUCUGUUUAACCAAACCAAGGGGUUGUGGUCCGUGACUAAGGUGAAUUCUCGCCCAUAUAAAUAGGGGGUGAGUUUUUUUCAGCGCCCAAACCAAAGCCAAACACUCCUUUUCAACUGCUGCAAAGCUCACUUCCCGGGGAAAUAGUUUGCGGCUGAUGUAAGCAACCGGGUGUUCCCCUCCGUCCUCUCCCACUUGGCUUAGAACUGCCCCCAGUCCGAACAUGGAAGCGUCUGUGUGGACGAUAAAAUGUUUGUUAGGGACUGGAGCAGCCAACACAGGAGCAUAUACAAGGGCAUCUUUCAAGGCUUGAAAAGCAGAUUCACAGGCGGGAGACCACAGGACCUGUCUGGAAAGAUUAUUUUCGUGAGGUCAGUCAGGGGCUUAGCUAGGGUGCUGUAGUCUGGUACAAACUGUCUGUAAUACCCUGCUGUCCCCAGGAAGGCCAGGACUUGGGUCUUGGUCCGGGGUGUGGGCCAGUUAGCGACAGCUUCUAUCUUGGCAGGUUCUGGCCACUGUCUCCCACACCUGACCUGGUGGCCCAAAUACUGGACUUCCGCCAUGCCUAUAUGGCAUUUGUCUGGCUUCAGAGUCAGGCCAGCCAUCUGAAUCUGAUCCCCACAUGACUCAAGUGUUCAUCCCAGGACUCACUAUAGAUCGCAAUGUCAUCCAACCGGGUAGUCCCAUCCUUCUUUGGUACCAGAACUACUGGAGAUGCCCAGGGACUAUCGGAAGGCUCAAUGACUCUUAGCCUCAACAUUUGUAUCUCUUCCCUCAUACCGGCUCUGACGGUGUCAGGUAUCUGGUAUGGGGGUUACCUAAGCGAAGCCUGUCCUGGUGUUUCCACCCUAUGGGUGGCUAGUGUGGUGAGCCCUGGUUCUUGGGAGAAUGUGUGGCUUUUACUGGCUAUUAAGCAGUGUAUCUGUUCUCUCUCGGUGGCCGUCAGUCGGUCCCCUAGCUUUAUCUGACUAAGGGGAUUGGUCUGGGGCUGUCUACUCAAGAGGUCAGGGAACUGUAAGCUGUCUGGGUCGUCAGUGGCUGGGGCGCAGGCAGCAGUUAUGUCCUCAGGCCUUUCUUGAUAUGCUUUAAGCAUAUUAAUGUGGAAUGCUUUGCGUACCCUCUCAUCCUUGUCGCUGGCGAUUACAUAGGUGGUAUCGCACAGUUGGUCUACCACCGUGUAAGGGCCCUGCCAGGCUGCUUGCAAUUUAUAAUUUUUGGUUGGCUGCGACACUAGGACCUUUUGUCCCACCUGAAACGUCUGCUGGCGAGCACCCCAAUCGUACCAUACCUUCUGCCGCCCCUGGGCUGCUUGGAGGUUUUCCUUAACCAUCCGUGCUAGCUGUUUCAUGCAUUCCUGGAGCUGCACCACAUAUGAUACGAUGGGGGCUCCCUCUUGUUUGGUGGUUCCCUCCCAGUGCUCCCUAAUGAGGUCCUGGGGGCCUCGCACGCUUUGCCCAUAUAGUAGCUCAAAAGGAAAGAACCCCAUGGAUUCCUGCGGUACCUCUCCGUACGCAAACAGGAGGUGAGGUAGGAACCUUUCCCAGUCACAGUAUUUGUCUGAACGUUUUCAACAUUUGUUUAAGGGUAUUGUUGAAACGCUCACAGAGGCCGUUGCUCUGGAGGUGGUAUGGGGAGCUAAGUAGGGACUUGAUUUGGCAGACUUUCCACAAAUGAUGAGUCAAUUCAGCAGUGAACUGGAUCCCUUGGUCAGAGAGGAUUUCCCUCGGGAAACCCACCCUAGCGAAUAUCCCAACCAGGGCAUUGGCCACAGUGUACGUCUGAAUAUUGGUUAGGGAGAUGGCUUUGGGAUAGCAGGUGGCAUAGUCCACCACGGUAAGGAUAAAUCGCUUACUGGAUGGACUAGGCUGUUUGAAGGGCCCUAUCAGGUCAACUGCUAUCUGACUGAAGGGCUCUUCUAUUAUGGGCAUGGAUAGUAGCUUCUCUUUAGGGUGAUCCCCCUUUUUUCCCCACUGUGGCAAAACUAACCUAGCCACUGGUUCCUGGAGAAGCCUGUGUUACAAAAUGCCUUUUGUCACUAUUUUCUCUUAUGACAAAUUGCCCUGUUUCCCCGGGUUAUGGAGAAGCCUAAUUGCCAACCUCCUUCCCCAUGCUUAUGGCCCUGGUGUGUAUGGCUCUUUAAGAACCAUCUGGGGACACAUUUAGACUUUUGUGAACAAUGCCCCUUUAAGAUGGUGUCCCCAGACCCUUAAAAUACUUUAUUCGUGGCUUUUUCCCACUUGGUUCAGAAAAUGGGGCUUACUGAAUCAAGUAGUUUCUCAUACUCCAUAGAUGUAACACCUCCUCUGGGAAGAUAGGACCAUCCCAUGGCUGCCACCAAUGUAGCAGUUACCCCGGGUAGCAGAGGGGUUUCCAUCGCUGGAGGGUGUCCUUUUCCCGAUCAGUGAGGAGGAUACUCAGCAUCCAGUAGUGAUCCAAGUGAAGCUCUUACAAGAGCUAGUGUGAUAGCUGUAUAGCCGUUACCCCCAAUAAGAGACAAGACUCUAGAUUGAGAGUGAAGAAGAACUGAAGGUUUAAUGGCAGAUACUCUUUUUAUGCAGUCUUCCCAUGCAAGGGAGACACUUUCCCUUUUUUUGGAACUGAUCCAAACUCUAGCUCUAGCUAAUGGUCCUCAGCAGCGAUCAAUAUGGAAUUAAAUUCAGCAUAAGGACUUUGUGGGUCCCUGGUCACCUCAGCGGGACUUAGCCGUGAAUGUUAUGGAACUGUUUUCGGCAUGGUGACCGUGCGGUUCCAGGACGACUUGCAACCGGCCAGGAGAGCGCUUUUUGGAGGUAAGGAGCCUGAGACUAAGAGGAACAAAUGCUACCAAAGAGCCAGACGGAGCACCACAUAUUUCGAACACAGGAGCUCCCAAAAGAUGACCGGCCAAAGCACCAAACGCCCUGGAACUAUUUUGGACAUAGGACCACAUGUGCAGCUGAUCAGAUCUUUAACACGGUGGCAUUUCCUCUAUACUGCAUGGAUCUGAGCGCUAUUUGGAGAACAUGGGCGCUAAGAUCAGGGCUAUUUGGGGAUAUAUUAUUUGUGGGGUUAUUAUAUAUUUUUAUGAUGUUUUGGGGUAUUUUUAUGUUUUUUUAUUUUUGUUUGCCUCUCUGUUCCUGUGAGAUAUUUAGCUUACCAGUCUUUAAAGUAAUUAUCUCCCAGGCACAGAGAUCUAUGGGAGGGGCUUGUCUUGUAUUGAAUGGAGACCCCAUGCUGGGGGCUGUGUAUAAAAGCAGUCAACCUGGCCAUAAUAAACCAGUCCCUUUACACCCUUCACUUAACUAGUGUUUGAGUGUACCAG